CACCAAAAAGGAUAGGGCGUAUUUUCUCGGCAACUGAAUCUGCAAGUAUCAAACUCUAUUUGCCAUAGUUUGCAGGUAACAAUGUUUCUAUGGCACUUAAUUUUAUUACAAUGUCAAAUUUGUCGCAUGUACACCCAAGACCCUACACAAACUGUCGACUGGCAGACUGACGAGCUUGCGCACCUUAGUGCACAGUACCCACAUCCAGCUUGUGUACCCAAUAGAUUGCAUUUCCUCCACAUUGUGUGUUUAAAAUCAAUCCAAACAUGAGUGUAAAUAGUAGCGAGGAUGCAGCUCGAUAAGAGGCCAUAGCCGGGUAAGGUUGUUCUGUUGUACUGCUUUCAUGAUGGUUUAUAUAUUUAUUUGACAAUAAUAUUGCAGGCUAAUUCAUAUGCUAAAGAUUUGAUUAAUGUCCCACUUGAGCAAUACGAGGAAUUGAAGCUUGUAUGUGGGGAGGAUCAAGCAACUGGAAGUUUUGGAAAGUCUAUCUCAGAUGUUCAGUCUGAAAGUGUGGAUGAUGUUACAAGUACAAAAGAAUCAUCAAAGGGAAGUAAACAUGGAAAACGAAGCAGACCAUGGGAAGAUGUUCUCUCCAAGGUUGAUGGGUUGACUGAACAGGUUGGGAGAUUGACUGAAGCUUUAGUUGAUGAUAGCUUUGUUGAAAAGUU
rnacentral:lncRNA from 1 species